rnacentral:rRNA from 1 species
GAUGAACGCUAGCGGCAGGCUUAAUACAUGCAAGUCGAGGGGCAGCAAGGGUAGCAAUACCUGUUGGCGACCGGCAAACGGGUGCGGAACACGUACAGAACCUUCCUUUAAGCGGGGGAUAGCCCGGAGAAAUCCGGAUUAAUACCCCAUAGUAAUAUUUAAUGGCAUCAUUAGAUAUUUAAAGAUUUAUCACUUAGAGAUGGCUGUGCGGCUGAUUAGGUAGUUGGUGUGGGUAAGGCCCACCAAGCCAGCGAUCAGUAACUGGUGUGAGAGCACGACCAGUCACACGGGCACUGAGACACGGGCCCGACUCCUACGGGAGCAGCAGUAAGGAAUAUUGGUCAAUGGACGCAAGUCUGAACCAGCCAUGCCGCGUG